ACCCGCUGAACUUAAGCAUAUCAAUAAGCGGAGGAAAAAGAAACCAACCGGGAUUGCCUUAGUAACGGCGAGUGAAGCGGCAAAAGCUCAAAUUUGAAAUCUGGUACCUUCGGUGCCCGAGUUGUAAUUUGGAGAGGGCAACUUUGGGGCCGUUCCUUGUCUAUGUUCCUUGGAACAGGACGUCAUAGAGGGUGAGAAUCCCGUGUGGCGAGGAGUGCGGUUCUUUGUAAAGUGCCUUCGAAGAGUCGAGUUGUUUGGGAAUGCAGCUCUAAGUGGGUGGUAAAUUCCAUCUAAAGCUAAAUAUUGGCGAGAGACCGAUAGCGAACAAGUACAGUGAUGGAAAGAUGAAAAGAACUUUGAAAAGAGAGUGAAAAAGUACGUGAAAUUGUUGAAAGGGAAGGGCAUUUGAUCAGACAUGGUGUUUUGUGCCCUCUGCUCCUUGUGGGUAGGGGAAUCUCGCAUUUCACUGGGCCAGCAUCAGUUUUGGUGGCAGGAUAAAUCCAUAGGAAUGUAGCUUGCCUCGGUAAGUAUUAUAGCCUGUGGGAAUACUGCCAGCUGGGACUGAGGACUGCGACGUAAGUCAAGGAUGCUGGCAUAAUGGUUAUAUGCCNCCCGUCUGAAACACGGACCA
rnacentral:rRNA from 1 species